AUGCUGAGAGCCCACCUGGAGCUCCCACAAAAAAAUCCAAGGGAUGUCAGGAUAGGAAAGGUACAAAUGGACCUGCUGGUGACAGUGAAGAAACAAAGGACACGUUUAAAUGCAUUUUUCAUGUUCAUUCCCACCAUGAAAGGCCAAACUCCAUCACCCUCUGAGAGCCCGGGCUGUGUCGCCUGCAGUGGCCGUGUCGCAGCCAGCUCUGCGCCCCGGGGCUGGGGCAGCGGAGCCGGCGGAGCUGCCGGGGGGAGGGGGGUCCCGUGUUCCAGUCUUGCCUCCCUUCAUUCCCUCACCCGGCGCUCCCCUCACGCCUCCCCCCGCCUUCCACCAGUCAGAGAAGCUUAUUUACAGUGUUUGUUAACGAUAAAAUCCAUGCCGCGAGCAUGCCCUGGGCAAGCGAAUGGCUCUGGGCCGACGGGACACUCCGUGGGACCUGCGGCGGCCCCAGAGCCACACCUGGCCUGGGGGACACGGCGGGAGUGUCCCUGUCAGAGCCCGGGGAGCCCAGCCCGGAUCCCACACACCCACCCGGGCAGGGGCUGCUCAGCACGGCCAGGCCCCACUGCCCAGAGCCCCGGCCCCAGCCCUGCCCGCACAUCCUCACUGGCCACAGGCUGCAGAGCUGGGCUGGGACACCCGCGACACAGCCCUGUCCCCUUCGAGGCUGCUCCUGCUGCCCCCCAGGAGUGCCCCUGUCUGUGCCCCAGGCAGGGGGAGCAGGGCUGGCACGGUGCAGGGCUGCAGGGCUGCAGGGCUGGCACGGUGCAGGGCUGCAGGGCUGCAGGGCUGGCACGGUGCAGGGCUGCAGGGCUGCAGGGCUGCGGGGACGGGGCUGCCUCUGCCCCAAGCAAAGCGAGUGCUCCUGUGCUGAGCGUGGUGCCAGGCGCUGGCAUCCUGCGGCAGCUGCAGGUGGGACAGUGCCCAGCCAUGCACAGGGGUGACACCCCUCUCCGUGGGCUGCAGCAGCCCCUUCCAUCCCCCGGGGGCACCGCGCCUGCCCCAGCCGUCCCGGGGCGUUUGUCUCUCCUGGCGGCAUCCGUAAGCCGCUGCUGCCGGGGCUCAGGAGCGGCUUCCUGCUGUCUGAUCCCAGGAGCACUGAAACCUGGGCACAGAAUUCCUGCCCCAGUCCCGUCUCAGUUAAAUAACGCCCUCUGA
rnacentral:lncRNA from 1 species